UGGGGAAUAUUGGACAAUGGGGGCAACCCUGAUCCAGCAAUGCCGCGUGUGUGAAGAAGGUGCUUCGGAUUGUAAAGCACUUUCGACGGGGACGAUGAUGACGGUACCCGUAGAAGAAGCCCCGGCUAACUUCGUGCCAGCAGCCGCGGUAAUACGAAGGGGGCUAGCGUUGCUCGGAAUGACUGGGCGUAAAGGGCGUGUAGGCGGUUUACACAGUCAGAUGUGAAAUCCCCGGGCUUAACCUGGGAGCUGCAUUUGAUACGUGUAGACUAGAGUGUGAGAGAGGGUUGUGGAAUUCCCAGUGUAGAGGUGAAAUUCGUAGAUAUUGGGAAGAACACCGGUGGCGAAGGCGGCAACCUGGCUCAUGACUGACGCUGAGGCGCGAAAGCGUGGGGAGCAAAC
rnacentral:rRNA from 1 species